UCCCCAGUGGCUCAGUGGUAGAGAAUCUGCCUGCAAUGCAGGAGACCCAGGUUUGAUCCCUGGGUGGGGAA